rnacentral:tRNA from 1 species
GCGGGCGUAGCUCAAUGGUAGAGCCGAAGCCUUCCAAGCUUUGAACGCGGGUUCGAUUCCCGCCUCCCGCUCCA